AAAAUAGACAUCUAGGGUUCCGACUUUGUGCAGUGACAAAUGGUUUGUCGUCAAAGUGUCUGGUCCGAGAGUUGUCAACCUCGCCAGAGGUCACACGGAGGGAUAAAAGCCCGGGAGGC
rnacentral:sRNA from 1 species